GGCCCUAUGGUGAAGUGGUUAACACAUAUGGUUUUCAUCCAUACACGCGUGGGUUCGAGUCCCGCUAGGGUCACCA
rnacentral:tRNA from 2 species